UUUAUAAGUAACAAGGGAGCAGACAAAGGUGAUUAGAACACAAUGGCAUGUCCAGUCUGUAAAUCUUUAAACCAUGAAGAUGGUUGUAUAGUUCAGGAAUUGGGCUUCUUUUUAUUAUGGGCGGUCCUAUCACUCAGAUGCCCACUUCUCACUGGACCUGUUGGCUGGCUGGCAUGAUUUGCUGUUGGUGAUGAGGCGGUCAGGGUGACGUUGCAGGGCUAUGGUCGGCUCUCUGUGAGCUCAACGUUUAGAUUGCUCUGUAUGGUUUGUACCCUGAAUAAUCUAGAUAAUUGUAAAAUGUAGGCACGGUUUUGUAUUGAAUGAUUUUAGGUAUUAAGUUGUUGUCGGACGUACAUGGUAGUUUGGUUCUUCGUACGGUUUUGAGUGAUAUAACUUGUACACACUGGGUGCAUAAUAAUGUAAAGGUACACUGAAUAGUAGUAAUGACCAACAGCAACAAACUGAUCUCCUCAAGGUAAGUCUGUUGGCUGUGUUUUAAUGAAGACCAUCGCUGGACUUCAGGAUCUUCCUCCGUUCAGCUCAAGGUGAGGCGCUGGUUCUGUUUUUUCUUUGGUUGGUUCCGGCUGGAAUGUUCGGAUUCCAGUUGGACGGUUUGUGCUUCCCGCCGUGGAAGGUUCUGAGUGCGGUCAUUUGAUUUAGUCCCAAUGGUUAGCAUAGAACGUUCAGGAUUGUAUUUGCGUAACCUCGAGCCGUUUGAUAUUAAAUACAUACUGACACGUACGUCGUACAAUAUGUUCAUUUCCGAUGGUUGCGCCGUACUUUUAACCACGAUGACGUGACGGGACUCUCGCUGCGUACAAAACGGCGUUCUACUUGCGGGCCCAUUUUUUACAUCAGUGAUGGAUGAAAAUCUUUUCAAGGCUGCAUUUCAACCAAACCCAGCACCUGAAUAAGGCUGAGUAUAUUUGAUUUAAUAUCGAUACUGCUGAGUGUUCUUUGUUACUUCAGCUUUUGUAUGUUCUAAUUAUCUGCUGUUAUUAAUUGCCACAGAAGUUAAACCCUACCAAAUGGAAUAACGUUAAACAACGACUUUGGUGCAGAGUUACCAACUGGAUAAUAUCAAAGCUAAAAGAAUGGCCGUCCUUCCCACAUGUUACAGUAGAAGAUACUCUAGAACUGUACAAGGUUAAAAAGGUAACAUGUAGUUUGUCCCAAGGUGUCUGCCUCCUCACCCAGAGCAAGACCUCCACCUCCUCACCCAGAGCAAGACCUCCACCUCCUCAUCCAGAGCCAGACCUCCACCUCCUGUCAAAAGUCCUCCAGAACAGCUGAAAGAUGAGGCUGAGAGGCUGGGGACCGGAGGCUUGUGGUGCCAGGAUGGACUAGAGACUGAGGCUGGAGACCAGGGGCCUGCAGCACCGGACCAGAGGGUGAUUUACUGCUGAGACCAGUGUUUGUUCCAGACCAGGACUCUGGCUGAGGUGAGCUGAUGGAGGAGCCAAGACUCUGGAGGACGACAUCACUCUGCCAACCAGAAUCCUCACCAGGAAUCUGGAGGACUGAUGGACAAGCCGUACAUCUGGAAGGCAAAUCCUGAGGACAACCAGGACUCUACCAUCAAGGAUUCCUCGUAAACACACCUGAGCUGAACCCGCCCUGAUCCUGGCAUCCUGCUGGUCCCGUCUCCUCAGUUCAUCUGCGCCUCAUCCUCCAGAAGACCUGCUGAGCUCAGCAGUCUGAGGCUAAUGUAUCAAUGACCUCCAGUGGGAGUCAUCUUCUUGACCCCACAUGUAACGUGAUUCGACACGCCUUUCCCUCACGUCUUUCACUAACCUCACUACUUCACUACUCUCUACUGCUUCUUCUUCCUUCUCUGUUGUUCGAACCUUUACACUGAAGGCGCGUCUUCCUGCCCUCAGAGGGUUCUGCGUUAGGGUUGAGAGUCAGGGUUUAGAGUCAGGGACAGAGCUGGUCAGGGAGGACUGCUUUUACACAAACCUCUUCACCACCUUUCGGAAUGGUGGUGACAUUUUGAAAAGAUUCAUUUGGGAAAAUGUUUUCCUCUGCUUUCCUUUACAAAAUUGUAUUAAACUUCUGUCAAGUGUUUUUGUUUAUAUAUUAAAAUCCCACAUUGACUUCUACAGUGGUGGGGUGUGUUGCGUCCCCAGGUGAUUUACUGCUGAGACCAGUGUUUGUUCCAGACGGGACUCUGGCUGAGGUGAGCUGAUGGAGGAGCCAAGACUCUGGAGGACGACAUCACUCUACCAACCAGGAUCCUUGAAUCUGGAGGACUGAUGGAGAAGCCGUACAUCUGGAAGGCAAAUCCUGAGGACAACCAAGACUCUACCAUCAAGGAUUCCUCGGAGAAACACCUGAGCUGAACCUAACCUGAUCCUGUUUGGUCGGGGGUAGACACACCUGAGCUGAACCCGCCCUGAUCCUGACAUCCUGCUGGUCCCGUCUCCUCAGUUCAUCUGCGCCUCAUCCUCCAGAAGACCUGCUGAGCUCAGCAGUCUGAGGCUAAUGUAUCAAUGACCUCCAGUGGGAGUGAUCUUCUUGACCCCACAUGUGAUUUACUGCUGAGACCAGUGUUUGUUCCAGACCAGGACUCUGGCUGAGGUGAGCUGAUGGAGGAGCCAAGACUCUGGAGGACGACAUCACUCUACCAACCAGGAUCCUCAGGCAAAUUACGUUUGUAACCAGACCAGGAAUCUGGAGGACUGAUGGACAAGCCGUACUUCUGGAAGGCAAAUCCUGAGGACAACCAGGACUCUACCAUCAAGGAUUCCUCACACACCUGAGCUGAACCUCACCUGAUCCUGUUUGGUCGGGGGUAGACGCACCUGAGCUGAACCCGCCCUGAUCCUGACAUCCUGCUGGUCCCGUCUCCUCAGUUCAUCUGCGCCUCAUCCUCCAGAAGACCUGCUGAGCUCAGCAGUCUGAGGCUGAUUUAUCAAUGACCUCCAGUGGGAGUGAUCUUCUUGACCCCACAUGUAACGUGAUUCGACACGCCUUUCCCUCACGUCUUUCACUAACCUCACUACUUCACUACUCUCUACUGCUUCCUCUUCUUCUUCCUUCUCUGUUGUUCGAACCUUUACACUGAAGGCGCGUCUUCCUGCCCUCAGAGGGUUCUGCGUUAGGGUUGAGAGUCAGGGUUUAGAGUCAGGGACAGAACUGGUCAGGGAGGACUGCUUUUACACAAACCUCUUCACCACCUUCCGGAAUGGUGGUGACAUUUUGAAAAGAUUAAUUUGGGAAAAUGUUUUCCUCUGCUUUCCUUUACAAAAUGGUAUUGAACUUCUGUCAAGUGUUUUUGUUUAUACAUUAAAAUCCCACAUUGACUUCUACAUGUUUGGUGCGGUUAAUUUAAUUGUCCUUUAACUUGGUUAAUGUCAAGCUAAACUGCAUUACAUUUAAUAUACAUGAUUGUUAUUCAGCAAUGUUCACAUAAUCCAUUUUGUAAAAAUAUUAAAC
ensembl:lncRNA